rnacentral:snRNA from 1 species
UCAUUUUGGCAGUGCCUGUACUGAAAUUGGAACGAGAAAAAUAGCAUGGCCCCUGCACAAGGACGGCAUGCAAAUUUGUUCAGCGCUCCAUAUUUUU